AUGGCCGUGGCGACUCGGUCUUCUAGGGUGAAGAUACGAAGGAAGGAGAUGAGGUGGGAUGCAGAGAAGAGAAGGGAGAAUAGGGACUGCGCGGCUACCAGCUGCAGGUCCGGCGGCGGCUCUGGUCAUCGGAUCCAGCCGCUCCCCGUCUCCCUGCGUCGUCCCAAGAUGGUCCGGCUGGGCGCCGCCCUGACGGCCGAGCGUGUGCUAUCCACGGAACGCGGCUCCUCCACCCAGGCCAUCCUCCACAACGCCAGCGAGGACACUACUUUGUCCAAACGAUCAUCACGACCACGCGCAGGUACACACACAUGUGCUCCCCUGGUUUAUUUUGAUGCCUUUUUGCGACAUGUCUGUUAUGUUUCAGAAUCUUUUUGA
rnacentral:rRNA from 1 species